rnacentral:rRNA from 1 species
CAUGUCCUUUUGAUAAAAAUUUAAGGUCUAAUCUGCUCAAUGAUAUUUAAAUAGCCGCAGUAUUUUGACUGUGCAAAGGUAGCAUAAUAAUUAGUUUCUUAAUUAGGAACUGGAAUGAAUGAUUGGACAAGAAAAUUUCUGUCUCUUUUUUAAUUUUAUUGAAUUUUAUUUUUAAGUGAAAAAGCUUAAAUUUUUAUAAAAGACGAGAAGACCCUAUAGAGUUUAAUAAUUAAAUUUUAAUAAAUCUUUAGAAUAUUAAUUUAAAAUAAAUUAUUUGGUUGGGGUGACUAAAAGAUUUAAAAAAUUCUUUUAAUAAAUAAAUUGAGGAUUUUCAAUUUAAAAAUCUAUAGUUUAUAAAACUAAAACAAAUUACCUUAGGGAUAACAGCGUAAUUUUUCUUUAAAGUUCUUAUUGUAAGAAAAGUUUGCGACCUCGAUGUUGGAUUAAAAUUAAUUUUUGGUGCAAUAACUUAAAAAUUAGGUCUGUUCGACCUUUAAAAUUUUACAUGAUCUGAGUUUAGACCGGUGUGAGCCAGGUCGGAUUCUAUCUUUAGAAGAUUUUUUAUAUUUUAGUACGAAAGGACCAAAUAUAAGUUAAAUUAAUUG